rnacentral:rRNA from 1 species
AUGAACGCUGGCGGCGUGCCUAAUACAUGCAAGUCGAGCGAACGGACGAGAAGCUUGCUUUUCUGAUGUUAGCGGCGGACGGGUGAGUAACACGUGGAUAACCUACCUAUAAGACUGGGAUAACUUCGGGAAACCGGAGCUAAUACCGGAUAAUAUUUUGAACCGCAUGGUUCAAAAGUGAAAGACGGUCUUGCUGUCACUUAUAGAUGGAUCCGCGCUGCAUUAGCUAGUUGGUAAGGUAACGGCUUACCAAGGCAACGAUGCAUAGCCGACCUGAGAGGGUGAUCGGCCACACUGGAACUGAGACACGGUCCAGACUCCUACGGGAGGCAGCAGUAGGGAAUCUUCCGCAAUGGGCGAAAGCCUGACGGAGCAACGCCGCGUGAGUGAUGAAGGUCUUCGGAUCGUAAAACUCUGUUAUUAGGGAAGAACAUAUGUGUAAGUAACUGUGCACAUCUUGACGGUACCCAAUCAGAAAGCCACGGCUAACUACGUG